ACACUCUUUGAAUAGGAGCUGGUGCAACUGUCCAAGAGCAGAUCCAGAUGCUGCUUCUGUGAUGAACCAACACAUGGCAGGAGCCUUCCAGACAUGUGCCCCAGGGUCUGCAUGAGGAAAACUCUCUUGCAUACCACUGCGAAGAGUCACCCCACCACUUGUGUCCCCACUGCAGAGCCAUUACGUGAGACAGCCACCACAGACGCAAGACAUAAAUGUUGUCCCAGUGCAGUAUGCUCUAAACGCUCUGGGACAUGGGACACUCCGAUGAUCAAAGAACUUUCUGACAAAGGACUAUGGAAAAGAGAGUUUGACACGGAGCCGAUUUGCCAUCUAGAACAGAAGAACAAGCUCAAGUCAGAUGCUGCUGCUUUCCUUCCUUCCUUCCCUGUUGUAUCUCCCAGCUUGCAAAAACCACCCUGAGGAGAUAACUGCUCUGAUGGAUUGUGUCAUUUUUCAAACUACAUUAUCGGCAAACAGUCAGUAUGUUGGGCUACAUGUUGAAAUUGCAGCUCAAAAACUUCCUAAGUACUUUCCCCAUUAGGGAAGAAUCAGUCAAGUGACGAAGCAAUGAAUGAAGACAGGACUGCUUUAAUCUCUGAAAACCAGAAACUUUUCCUUUAGAAGAGGAGUUGUUUAGAAGAACAAUGAAAGCUGCCAGUGACAGCACCUUGAAAAGGCCUGAACUUACCCUGGCGUCUCUCCUCCUGGUUGUUUGAAAACUGUGCAGUCCCAAUUCAGGGAUGUCUUUCUCCAGGAGCUAUAAAAGCUUUUCUUUCCACUCAACUCACUUUCACAGGCCCACAGGUAAGAAUAAAGUACUUAAAACGAUGUGGACUGCUUUACAUUUGAUGAAA